rnacentral:rRNA from 1 species
AGUGAACGCUGGCGGUAGGCCUAACACAUGCAAGUCGAACGGCAGCACAGUAAGAGCUUGCUCUUACGGGUGGCGAGUGGCGGACGGGUGAGGAAUACAUCGGAAUCUACUUUUUCGUGGGGGAUAACGUAGGGAAACUUACGCUAAUACCGCAUACGACCUACGGGUGAAAGCAGGGGAUCUUCGGACCUUGCGCGAUUGAAUGAGCCGAUGUCGGAUUAGCUAGUUGGCGGGGUAAAGGCCCACCAAGGCGACGAUCCGUAGCUGGUCUGAGAGGAUGAUCAGCCACACUGGAAGUGAGACACGGUCCAGACUCCUACGGGAGGCAGCAGUGGGGAAUAUUGGACAAUGGGGGCGAGCCUGAUCCAGCCAUACCGCGUGGGUGAAGAAGGCCUUCGGGUUGUAAAGCCCUUUUGUUGGGAGAGAAAAGCAGCAGGUUAAUACCCCGCUGUUCUGACGGUACCCAAAGAAUAAGCACCGGCUAACUUCGUG